AGUAAACAUUACCCAGCAUUACUGUCAGAAAAUUAAAUAAAGAGUACUGAACAGAAACCAAAGUGAGAUUAUUUUUCAUCCUUGCAGAAGUUGAUUCUUGGGAUUCUAAAUAUGACACUCCUCAUGCCUCUUCAUGAAACAUUAGUUGCCAAAGUGAAUAAAUUCUAAGAAAUAGUUGGACACUUGACUUUAUGAUGAAGGAGAAAUAAGUUGCCAAAAUUAUCAUAAACUUUCAAGUGGAUUAAUUUCCAUGAUGGUGGAGGCUUUGUCAUUUGGUUCCCUAUAGCAUCCACAAGAGGCUUUUGAGGUAUUUGGACCAUAGCAGCUGACCCUGGAAUAGCACAUGUUUGAACUGUGCAGGACCACUUAUCUACGGAUUUUUUAUGGUAUAGUAUUAUACAGUGCUGAUCCCUCAGGCAUCAAAUUCCUGGCUGAUAUAGCUGUUAACUCCAGUUUCUGAAGCUAAUUGUCCAUUUACAUGGAAUCCACCAAAAUCCAUCAUCCCUGCUGUGUCACUUGCUGAGGUGAUUCAUUGCUUGACCAAGGGAAGUUUUCACCCAAACUUUGUUUAUAGUUUCUGCAUUCCACAUGUUUACCUUGUCAAAGCAAAAAUUGCAGGAUAAAGUUAAACAGGCAAGGGAGACUUCAUUCAAGACUAUUUCAGUAGCCAACUCUGCAGAAACAAAGGGUUAUCUCCUUGUAAUGGAAGUAGUGGGUGAACAUGCACGGGAAGGAGAAGUGGGAGUCUUGGUAAUUUCAUUGCAAGAUAUUUAUUGGACAUCCACUCCAUAGAAAGCAUUGUGGACUCAAUAGGAACAAGAGAGACCUGGUUCUUGCCUUGAGGGGCUAGGGAUUUAUUGGAAAGAAAUAUUAUACAAACAGAAAAGAGUGACUUUGAUCUAUUGAUAUCUGGUUAACAGAGAAAGUACACUUCCACUUAGCCAUUUCUUUUGGACAAACUUUCUUCAUUCACCUUUUCUUCUAAGAACCUUGUGUAGGCCAGAAGUCAGGGUUUGGCUGCACUUGAAUGACUGGGUGCCUGCGUGAUAAUCAGUAUCAUAAUAAGAGCUGUGCAAUAACAACAUACAAUAUUGUCUUUUCUGAGAAUUGAGCUAAUUUCUUUCAUCUGCCUUGGUUUGACCAAACUUCAGCCAUAAGUUUAUCCACAGGAAUAACUCUGCAAGGUAUUAUUGAAUUCACAUAGAAUUCUGGAGAAAUACUGCCUCCUGGAUGUCUUAGUCAUUUACAUAAGGAGAUGACUCAUCAGGUUCAGCUCCAAGUCACCUGUGGGACCUUUCAUAAUUUGUGUAGUCCUGAUUACUAGCCAGCUGUAUAAGGCUGCGGAUGUCCUGUUAUUGAAAUUCUAGCUAUCAAGAGGCAGCAGGGAUAAGGAAGAUGUCAGCCAUGGAAACUCCCACACUA